rnacentral:rRNA from 1 species
GACGAACGCUGGCGGCGUGCUUAACACAUGCAAGUCGAACGAUGAAGCCGGAGCUUGCUCUGGUGAAUUAGUGGCGAACGGGUGAGUAACACGUGGGUAACCUGCCCUUGACUCUGGGAUAACUGCGGGAAACUGUAGCUAAUACCGGAUACGACCCUCGGAGGCAUCUCCUGGGGGUGGAAAGAAUUUCGGUCAAGGAUGGACUCGCGGCCUAUCAGCUAGUUGGUGAGGUAAAGGCUCACCAAGGCGACGACGGGUAGCCGGCCUGAGAGGGUGACCGGCCACACUGGGACGGAGACACGGCCCAGACGCCUACGGGAGGCAGCAGUGGGGAAUAUUGCACAAUGGGCGCAAGCCUGAUGCAGCAACGCCGCGUGAGGGAUGACGGCCUUCGGGUUGUAAACCUCUUUUAGCAGGGAAGAAGCGAAAGUGACGGUACCUGCAGAAAAAGCACCGGCUAACUACGUGCCAGCAGCCGCCGUAA